rnacentral:rRNA from 1 species
ACACGACUACAUUAGAUACCCCCGUAGUCCUAGCCGUAAACGAUACUCGCUAGGUGUCGGCCACGGUGCGACCGUUGUCGGUGCCGUAGGGAAGCCGUGAAGCGAGCCACCUGGGAAGUACGGCCGCAAGGCUGAAACUUAAAGGAAUUGGCGGGGGAGCACCACAACGGGUGGAGCUUGCAGUUUAAUUGGAUUCAACGCCGGAAAUCUUACCGGGACCGACAGCAACAUGAAGGCCAGGCUGAAGACUUUGCCGGAUUAGCUG